rnacentral:rRNA from 2 species
UACGAAGGGGGCAAGCGUUGUUCGGAUUUACUGGGCGUAAAGCGUACGUAGGCGGAUGAUUAAGUCAGGGGUGAAAUCCCGGGGCUCAACCUCGGAACUGCCUUUGAUACUGGUCGUCUUGAGUCCGGGAGAGGUGAGUGGAACUCCUAGUGUAGAGGUGAAAUUCGUAGAUAUUAGGAAGAACACCAGUGGCGAAGGCGGCUCACUGGCCCGGAACUGACGCUGAGGUACGAAAGCGUGGGGAGCAAACAGG